AGACCAGCAUUUUGCUUUCGCGGAUUCUUGGCUCAGCAGCCAGCACACAAGAGCAAACUACAAGUUUCUAUUGAUCUGAAGGUCAUUGCCAUUAGUAAGAUGCUUUUUCAUAGUCCGCUGUGGGACUUGGCUUGGCUAUAAGCCAGAACUCAGGGAAUUGAUAUAAAGCAACCAUAGGAUGAAGAAGAUAGCUACGGCAAUAACUCUAUUUUGCACGGGGUAAGAAAAAAAAA
rnacentral:lncRNA from 1 species